GACGUAGGGCGCGAGCGUUGUCCGGAUUUAUUGGGCGUAAAGAGCUCGUAGGUGGUUUGGUAAGUCGGGUGUGAAAUCUCGGGGCUUAACUCCGAAACUGCAUUCGAUACUGCCGUGCUUGAGGACUGGAGAGGAGACUGGAAUUUACGGUGUAGCGGUGAAAUGCGUAGAUAUCGUAAGGAAGACCAGUGGCGAAGGCGGGUCUCUGGACAGUUCCUGACGCUGAGGCACGAAGGCCAGGGGAGCAAACGGG
rnacentral:rRNA from 1 species